rnacentral:misc_RNA from 1 species
GAUGAAGAACGUAGCGAAUUGCGAUAUGUAAUGUGAAUUGCAGAUUUUCAGUGAAUCAUCGAAUCUUUGAACGCACAUUGCGCCCGCCAGCAUUCUGGCGGGCAUGCCUGUUCGAGCGUCAUUUCAACCCUCAAGCUCUGCUUGGUGUUGGGGCCCUACGUCUGACGUAGGCCCUCAAAGACAGUGGCGGACCCUCUCGGAGCCUCCUUUGCGUAGUAACUAACGUCUCGCACUGGGAUUCGGAGGGACUCUUGCCGUAAAACCCCCAAUUUUUACAGGUUGACCUCGGAUCAGGUAGGAAUACCCGCUGAACUUAAGCAUAUCAAUAAGCGGAGGA